AGACGAACCGAGCGAACGUUAUUCGGAAUCACUGGGCUUAAAGGGCGCGUAGGCGGGCCUGCAAGUCGGGGGUGAAAGCCCCCAGCUCAACUGGGGAAGUGCCUCUGAUACUUCAGGCCUCGAGGGAGGUAGGGGCGUGCGGAACUUCCGGUGGAGCGGUGAAAUGCGUAGAUAUCGGAAGGAACACCGGUGGCGAAAGCGGCGCGCUGGACCUCUUCUGACGCUGAGGCGCGAAAGCCAGGGGAGCGAACGG
rnacentral:rRNA from 1 species